GACGAACGCUGGCGGCGUGCUUAACACAUGCAAGUCGAACGGAAAGGCCCUGCUUUUGUGGGGUGCUCGAGUGGCGAACGGGUGAGUAACACGUGAGUAACCUGCCCUUGACUUUGGGAUAACUUCAGGAAACUGGGGCUAAUACCGGAUAGGAGCUCCUGCAGCAUGGUGGGGGUUGGAAAGUUUCGGCGGUUGGGGAUGGACUCGCGGCUUAUCAGCUUGUUGGUGGGGUAGUGGCUUACCAAGGCUUUGACGGGAAGCCGGCCUGAGAGGGUGACCGGCCACAUUGGGACUGAGAUACGGCCCAGACUCCUACGGGAGGCAGCAGUGGGGAAUAUUGCACAAUGGGCGGAAGCCUGAUGCAGCAACGCCGCGUGCGGGAUGACGGCCUUCGGGUUGUAAACCGCUUUCGCCUGUGACGAAGCGUGAGUGACGGUAAUGGGUAAAGAAGCACCGGCUAACUACGUG
rnacentral:rRNA from 1 species